rnacentral:lncRNA from 1 species
ACUCGUCGACUACAUUCAAUCACUCAUCUUAGUCAUCUACUUUACUAAACUGUUUGAAGUCUCUGUCCUCUGAAGGCUACACGACUCGUCGAUCUCGAUCCUCAUCUACACGACUCGUCGAUCUCGAUCCUCUGAAGUCUCUGUCCUCUGAAGUCUCAAUCUCUGUCCUCUCACCUCUGAAGUCUCAACUCUCAACUCUCAACUCUCAACAGUCAGUCAGUCAACAGAUCUCGAUCGAUUUCUCUCAGAGUCGGACUCUCAGAGAUCUCGAACUCUCAUCGCCUCAUCGGUCGACGCGUCACGCCGACGGCAUCCGGUACGAUUUUCCUUCAACUUCAUUCUCUUACUCUCUAAUGGCUGCUCUGAAUUGAUUUAAUGGUUUUAUCAGUUGAGCUCCUAAAAAAUUGAUUUCAUGGUUUUAUCAGUUGCACGAUAUUAUCAAAUAGGUAGUAAUUGAAGUGUAUUAACAAUUGUGGUGGCUAUUAACUUUCUUGUCUCUGUUUGCAUUUGAAGAAUAGCUUGUUCUCUCCUAAAAUUUGGUUUCUAUGGUUUGCUGAAUUCUGAUUGUGUGUUGGCAGGCUGAAAUUGGAGACUUGUCUAGUAUUUUCUAUGGAGACCUAAUUUGAAUUUUGAAGGCAUAGCCUAUUUUUGGGGUGAUUUUCUACUUUCAAUUGUGCAGCACAUCAUAUAAAGAUAAUCUGUCUUGACAAGUAUAGAAGUUAGUUCAUAGGUAUUAUUGAAUAGUUUUGUUUUAUUGGCUAUUUUAAUAAUCCCAAAAGAUGAGGUAUUGUUGUGUUAAUGUUGUCAGGGUUGUGCAAUGAAUAAAAUUGACCAAAAUCUGAAGUCACAUUGUUAUGAUUAGGCAAUAAUAAUAAAUAUGUUUGGUGGCGUGACCGACGUGGAUUUGUAUGUUAGGCAUAUAGUAUUGUAUAUGGUCGUAUAUUUUUGUACUUUAUUUGAUUUUCUAAUGAUCCCC